CUUAUCUGAAAAUGCCUUUUUAAAGGUUUUAUGCAUAAUGCAAGCCCUUCUGUUCUGUACAGAAAAUAGUGAGUGAUAUGCAAGCAAAUUCAGAAAUUGAAAAAUAUUUAAAAAUAAUUAAAAAGCCAGAUUUGGAGAUUCUGCUCUGGUUUGCUCGAAUUAAGAAGCAGUGACAUCUUAAAAGGCUUUUAUGCUGUUGUGACUAGGGGAAGUAGGGCAGAGUGACACAAUAGAAAACAUUAGGUCCAAACUUUCUCUAAUGUAGGUUUUAGGGCUUAAAAAAGAGAUACAAAGGGUUAUUGAAGUUUUUAAAUAUGCUUCUUAUUGUCAAUUCAUGUCACUGAAGAGAGUUUGCCCUUGCUUACACAGGAGAGGAGCUUUUAGAUCUUCAACCAGACACCUGCCAGAAGUACCUUUAACAUGCAAACUAGCCAAGGGAGUUUGCCGGCUUCUAGUCACCAUCAAAGCAGAGAACCUGAAGAAAGAUCCCACACAUCUUCCAGGCACUGCCCCUGAGCUAUCCCUAAUGAAGAGUCAGGAAAACCAGAGUUUCCCUUCCCCAGUUCUCUCCAGAGCCAGUGUGAUCCAAUAGGCGAUGAAUUCUCUCCCAUGCGUUGCAAGGAGAAAUCUGCAGAUGGGCUUCUGAGGAAAACUCUCCAAUCUUUUGCUCAGUUGAUGUUGUAUGACGUGCUGCUUGGAUCUGUGGCAGUUGUGCUUAGGGGUGACAUGCCUAAGAGUGAAAAGCUGACAGAAAAGAAUGGCAAAGCCUAGAUGGGAAAAAAUUAGAUAUUUGAUGGUGUUGUGAAAAUGCUGUUAUCAAAUCUGGAACUCCACACCUCUAGACUUCUUGUCAAGUGAGAAGUAAAUGAUUUUUAUUGCUUAAGCUACCAUUAACUUGGUUUUCUCUUUCAUUUGCUUGAAGCCAAAAUACUUUACUACCAAAAUAGAGAGGGAUACUCUCAUCUGCU
rnacentral:lncRNA from 12 species